rnacentral:rRNA from 1 species
AGUGAACGCUGGCGGUAUGCCUAACACAUGCAAGUCGAACGGCAGCACAGUAAGAGCUUGCUCUUACGGGUGUCGAGUGGCGGACGGUUGAGGAAUACAUCGGAAUCUACUUUUUCGUGGGGGAUAACGUAGGGAAACUUACGCUAAUACCGCAUACGACCUACGUGUGAAAGCAGGGGUUCUUCUGACCUUGCGCGAUUGAAUGAGCCGAUGUCGGAUUAGCUAGUUGGCGGGGUAAAGGCCCACCAAGGCGACGAUCCGUAGAUGGUCUGAGAGGAUGAUCAGCCACACUGUAACUGAGACACGGUCCAGACUCCUACGGGAGGCAGCAGUGGGGAAUAUUGGACAAUGGGCGCAAGCCUGAUCCAGCCAUACCGCGUGGGUGAAGAAGGACUUCGGGUUGUAAAGCCCUUUUGUUGGGAAAGAAAAGCAGCAGGUUAACACCCCGCUGUUCUGACGGUACCCAAAGAAUAAGCACCGGCUAACUUCGUG